rnacentral:lncRNA from 1 species
AUCCCUGGGCCUGGGCCUACCUAGGUGAAGACAGGCAUUUUUGUUUUCCUGCCCGGAUGUUGCAUUUCCCAAGACCACCCUGGCCUGCCAUGCCCUCAUCCUGUGCCUUUAAAAACCCCCGAGACCCUGGCAGGCAGACGCACAAGCAGCUGGACAUUGAGAGGAGCAUAUAGGCAGAGAAUACAGGGGCUGCUGGAUGUCGAAAGGAACGCACCAGCAUAGGAGCACACCGGCAUGCUGGCAGGCCAUUGACCAGCGGAAGAAUGCAGAGUUUGUCGCGGGAGGUCAGAGAAGAGUCAGGCCGCCAUACCUGACUCCAGGAGAAAACCGUCUCCCUUCUGGUUCCCCCGUCUGCCGAGAGCUACUUCCACUCAAUAAAACUUUCCACUCAUUCUUCAAGCCCACGUGUGAUCCAAUUCUUCCCGUACACCAAGGUCAAAACAGUCACAAGCCUGCUCAAAUUCGGAAAGAGGGGACGGAAAUGGAACCUCUUCAUGGGAGGAAGAAACAGGGUCUUGCUCUGUUGCCCUGGCUGGAGUGCAAUGGUAUGAUCAUAGCUCACAGUAGCCUUGAACUCCUGGGCCCAAGCCAUCCUCCUACCUCAGCAACCAGAGUAGCUGGGAUUACAGGCGAAUGCCACCACACCUGGAAUUGGAAAAAUGAAUGUAAUUUGACAUAUGUCUUGAGUCUGGUUGGCUUCUGAGGAACUUGUGUGCAUCUCAUCAGUAUGCAUCUUAAGAACUGAAAUGACCCUACUUCAGCAUUGUGAGAAGACAUGCAUUCUCUUCGUAUAAAUAAUGUGGAUCUUACAUGUAAAGUAUUAUAAAGAUUAGCUGUUUAACAACUUAAAUAAGCUUGUGAAUAAUAAAUUAAUAACAAUGUUAUGCUAAUACGUAACUAUGAUAUUUGCUGAACAAAAUAAAUUUGCCUACUUUGGAAGCAGAUUGGGUGGUUUAAUAUAUCAGCAAAAGAGUGUUUUUAAAAAAUAUCAAAGUUCUGUUAAUCAAAACGUUUAUUGUAGGACAGUUAGUAAUGUUUUGUUUGCCAACUUAUAUUACAAAGUCUCUGUCUUAAGUGUUUCCUUGCAAAUAAAAUGACAAUACUGCCUUACAUUUUAUUACUUUAGAGUUUGCAAAAUAUCUUCAUUAUAAUAUUUCAUUUAGUAGACAUGCCUAUGGGAACAUUACUUCCAGAAUUAAAAACAUUAUUUUUGUUUUGGUAUAUUUUUAAACUACAAAUGAUAGAAAGGCAAGUAAAUGUAAGUUUUUCUCUAGUUAUUUGUUCAAAUGCUAAUUUAAAACAUUUGUACAUUUCUAAUACAAACAUUCCUUAUUUGAGAAAAAAUGGAUUUCUUAAAAACAAAAUGCAUUUUAAAGCAGAGAGACAGGGCAUUGAGCUGAAAAUGGUGGCUGGAAGUUGGGAUCUGUAAGAGAAGUUGAAUGUGCCCCGAGGCAUAAAGCUGCUAAUUUUGUUUUAUUGGAUUUUACUGUAGCUAUUAAUAUAUUUUGCUGGAGAUUUAUGUGAUCAAUUUAUCUUAUGGCCAGAACUAAUUCCCUUAGUAUAUUUUAUUAGAAUAUGUGACUUUUUCUAAAUUUAGCUUUAUUUUUCAUAUUUUCCAUAAAUGGCAAAGAUUCUAUGUUUCCAGACAUGUUAAGUAUUGCAAGAAUUAUUGGAGCACCUAAAGAUAAAUAAUAUCAAAAUAGUGUCAUUGUUUCCCUUAGUUUCUCCUUCUCCCCCACAAAUAAACCAAGAGGUAUUUAGUUAUACUAUUGCAUGUCUCUAGCUUUAUUGGAUUCUUCCAUGAAAGAAAAAUGGAUUACAUUUUUGGUUGUGUGGCCCUCGUUGCCCUAUUGCACUUUUGAUAAUAUUUGCCUGUGACAAGUAGUUAUUUUUCAUUACCACAUUCAAUCAUGGGUAAUAAAAUAUUUUAAUAAUGGUGAAUGUGAAGUUAAUUAAUAACCCGCAGGUAUGGCAGCUAGACAGGAUUGCUCUCCAUCUCAAACACAAGGAAAACAAUUCCAUCGGUAGUUAUAAAUUUGCAUAUGAAUGUCAAAUAUAUGAGGUUUUGAAUAAAAAUCAUUUCUGAGUAAAA